UCCCUGUGCUACAGUAGGUUCUGGUGGAGACAGGGUCUCUAAAGGGGUAGUUUAUGGGUGGGCCCUAGUCCAGUAUGACUGGUGUCCUCAUAAGAAGAAGAGACUGAGACUCAGACGCACACAGAGGGAAGACCACGUGAAGACACAGGGAGAAGAUGGCCGUCGGCAAGCCAGAGAGGGAAGCCUCAAAAGAAACCAACCCUGCCCACGCCUUGACCUCAGAAUUCUGGCUUCCUGAGCUGUGAGAAUAUACAUUUCUGCCGUUGAAGCUAUCCAGCCCGUGGUACUUGGGUUGUGGCAGCCCGAGCAAACUAACACAAGUAGUUUGAGCUGUUGUCUGGUAUUUGCAGAGUUCCUUGGGUGCACCUGCUGUGUACUUUAAUCCCAAGCGUUCCCAUUGCCCCUGCUGACCUUCUGCCUGGCAGCCCCCCACCCCGCCUUGCCCAGCUCAUGCCUGCAGUGGCCUUGCUGGUCCCGCUACAGGCAUCCCUUCCUGAAGCCAGGGCUGGGUGUCCCUGCUGGGGCGUCAGGCAUCCUGCACCUGGUUCCACCUUUGAUUGGCAACCAGUCUUUGUGUCUCUCUGCUCCCUAGACUGUGAGCUCUUGCAGGGCAGGCAGAACCAGGUUCAUCUUCGCCUUCUCAUAGGUAAGCUCCUGGAACACAGUGCUGCUUGUUAAGUGCGUGCAGGAGGAGAGUACAGACCACCCCCAGAGAAGGCCGUUCAUGGAAAUGUAUCAAGGAUCAUCUAAAGCAGUAAACCCCUGUGUUGUUCAUGGUAUUUGUGUUUUUAAAAUUUUGUCAUGAAAUAUUGUGUAAAUUCUGAGGAGGGGAGGGAGAGGAAUAUCUGAUACUAAAAUUGCUUUGCAUUUUUUAGAGUAUUUUCCCUUAACACGAAAAGCAGAUGUCGCCACCAAUAUCCGCUCUUCCACUUCCCAAAAGAAAGUGCAGGAUUAAAUCCACUGAUAAUGCACAUAGGGUGUCUCCUUACGCAGGUAUUUGACAACUGACUGUUAGAUGAUGCCUUCAUUUAACAAAUACUUACUUAGAAAUGCCGACUCUGUAAUGGACAGCAAAGAUGGUGGUCAGGACAUCUCCCAGGAGGCCCCCAUUCUUGUAAGAGGAGAUGACAAGCAAGAAAGUAUCAGAUGGUGAUAUGUAUGUGUGAUGCAAAUUCUUAACACAGGCUCUGGGAUGGAGCAUGAAGGGGGUUCCUUUGGUUGGACAGUCAGGGAAGCCCUGUCUGAGGAGCUGCAUUCAAGCUGAAACCUGGUGACGAGAAGCAGACACGUGAACAUUGCUGGGAAGAGCAUUCCAGAUGGAGGGAUUAGACGUUGCGGAGGCCCGAGGAAGAAUAGAGGAGCAGAAGGGAGGCCCCUCCAGGGCGGCUGGAGGGGACGGGUGAGAGGGAAUACAGGCAGGGAGUGGGGGGAGGCAGGGACCAGAUGUUACAGAGUCUCCUGCAUCAAGUGAGGCUUUUAUUCUAAGGAUGGUGGAAAGUCAUGUAAGGGUUUUCAAAAGAGGAGCGGCACAAUCUGACUCAUACUUUUGGGAAGAUCACCUGGCUCCUGUGUGGGGAAUAGGUGUGUGUGAGGCGGGGAGGGCGAGAGUGAAAACAGGGACAUUGACUAGGAGGCUGCAGUAGCCCCAGCACCCAAUGGUAGGGCUUGCAAAGAAUCUGGAGAGAACUGGGCGGGUUCAGGGUAGUUGUGCAAGUGGAGGGGAGGGGAGGGAGGACUCUGGGUGGUUUUCAGGUUCGUGGCUGGAGCACCUCGGUGGAGGGCAGUGCCACUUACUGAGAAUCAGAAUCCUGAAGGAGGAGCAGAUGGGGGAUGAGAGUGCAGUGGGCAUCCAGGUACUUUUUAGAUUUCAGAUGCUUUUCUGCAUCUGGGAGGUAAUAUCUUAUGAGCAGAUGGACACAGGAGGCUGGGAGUCAGAGGAGAGGUGGGGGCUGGAAAACUAUGCCCCUCCCUGUGUCUAUCCAUCUAUCUCUCCCUCAGAGUCAAGGUCAUGAAUGCUAUUUAAGCCCACGGGCCGAAGGGGAUUACCUAGGCAGCCAGCAGAGAUGGAGAAGCUCGUGGGGCUGAUCCUUGCUGUGCUCCACAGUUUAGUGAUGCUUCAGGCUUGAGAUAUCGAGGCAAGGUCAAGGAAAAAAGAGCAACCAGAAAGGCAGGAGAAAGACCCAUGUGUGUGAUAUCAUGGAAGCUCCCUGGGAGAAGUGCGUCCAGAGGAAGGAACAGUGCCACGUGUUGCUGAAGGGUCAAGUAAGAGAAGACCGUUGGAUGGGGAAACGAAGAAGGUCAUGAAGAGCUCCAGGGAAUGAGAACUUUAUUGGAUUGGACCCUUGAUCGAAAAAGCCUUUCUUCCAUUUUUAACAUCAACCUGGGGAAUGGUCGAUUGAUUGCUAAACUUUGAAAAUCUGCUUUUUGUUGUGUAUGUAUGCCAUAGAAGGGCCCUCAUUAUCUGAGCAUGAAAAGCUACUUAAACAGAAUCUACUUCCAAUAGGGAAUGAAAUUUCGUGUUAAUUAAAUUAAAAAAAGUUUUUGAUUGGGACUUAACUAGAAAAAUGAAAGUAGAUAACAUGAAAAACUCUAAAUUUUUAAAAAUUUAAGG